AAGGAGGCUGUCCCCCUCAGUCUGACAUUAGUCUCCUCUGGGACCAAGCUGGUGACACUGACCUGAUCUCUUUUCACCUGGUGAACCUGAACUCUGAGCUUCAGCUAUGGGUCGUCUGGAUUGCGUCUGUGAAGCCCUUGGAAAAAUGUUUGAUGAGCACGCUGUUGGCGGCAAGUUGACCAGGGAUCAGCUGAAGCAGCUGUUUGAGAAGGAAUCUGACAUGAAACAGGCAAAAAUGGAGUCAGGUUGCUGUGAGAAGAUGAAGGAAUGGAUGGACAAGAACUGCAAAGACCCGAUGGAUUUCAAUGACUUCUGUAGUUGUGUGUGUAUGGUGGCCUCCAACAAAUACAGCAAAGGCCAACAAGGUGGCAGCUGUGGACAAGCCUGCAAAUAAAACCUUUAAAGGAUUGCCAUCAAAACUGAAAUGUGCAAAUGUGAUAUGUGACACUACUGCCAAUUCCAUCUAAUUUGACUUUACACUUUCCAAAUAGUGUCCAUUCAAUACUU